UUGUGUCUGGCUUCUUAGCUCAGCAUAAUGUUUUUGAGAUUCAUCCAUGUUGAAUGAUGUAUUUUGCUUCUUUUAAUUUCUGACGUAUGAAUGUGCCACAGUUUGUUUAUGGGAGGAAACUUGAGAUUCCUUUCAUUGCGGUAGGAUUCACAUCUAUCCAACACAACAGAGAGCAGAAUCCAAAAGUCGUGCAGUCUUUUUGGAAGAGCACUGGACUGAAAGUUGAGUCCCUCCUGCACCUUUUGGCAUAUAACCUGGGUAACUCAUUUAACCUGUCUCAGUCUUAGAGUCCUUAUCCAUCAAAUGAUCAGUUUGCUAGGGCUGCCAUAACAAAGUACCACUAAGUGGGUGGCUUAAUGAAACAGAAAUCUAUAGUGUCAGUUCUGGAGGGUAGAAGUCUGAAAUCGAGGUGUUGGCAGGGUCAUACUCCCUCUGAAAUUAGUGGAGAAUUUUUCCUUGCCUCUUCUAGUGUCCGGUGCUUCACUAAUUACUUCUUCAAUGACCCUAUUUCCAAAUAAGGUCACAUUCGGAGACACUGGGAAUUAGUACUUCAAUUAUCUUUUUUGGUGACACAAUUCAACCCAUAACAUGCCACCUGCCACAAGAUUGAAUGAGGCAAUCCUUUGUCAUUGUUGCAGGUAAGGCAAGAAUCAGGGGAGAUUUUGGCCAGAGACCUACUUUUAACAUUCUAUGUGACCUCGUUCAAAUCUCUUCUCCUCUCUGGAUCUCAGUUUCCUCAUCUACAAAAUGAUCUGUAAUGUCUUCCCUAGAUGUA
rnacentral:lncRNA from 1 species